rnacentral:lncRNA from 1 species
AUAUAAAACUUUUAUCAGGAUAAAUAAACAUCAUUGGUUAAUGAACUGCUUCAUUUAUAUCGCAACGUUUAAUAUUCCGCGUAAUUGACAAUGAAGUUGCUUCUAUUGAUGUUGAAUUACUAUACUCUAACGUCAUUCAUCAUCGUACCGCAGGGAACGGACGGUUUUUGACUGCGGGUUCUAUGAAUUAACUAUUUAGGAAUGCGAGCAGACCGCAGGAAUGGAGGAAACGAACUGAGAGGAACGAAUGUAGCAUUAUGAAGGCAUAAAAGGUUCAUUGAUUUCAACAAUUCUUUAUAGAAAGAGAAAAUUACGGAUGAGAAAAG